GAGACAUAAGCCCCGUCCUUCUGGCCUCCCAGAUUUUAACUUGUUUCUGGGUCUCUUUAUUUUUCAUCUUCCUCACCUUUGGCUCAGAGUCGAGCUCAGCCUGUGGUUCCUACAGGGGCCUCUGGCUCGCCCUUCUCCCUUGGCGCUCAGCCUUGGGGCACUGCUGGACGCCACUGCCAAAACCCCAAUGGCCCAUUUUCAGACAAAGAAUCGUUUAGGAUUGUCAGAAAAUACUGAGGGACUCAACGCACUCCCGGACGCACGCACGCAUGCGCGAAAUCCGCUCAGCCCUCACAUCCUUAGCUCAGAAGACAGAAAGGCGAGGAUGAGCGAAGCCAGCUCAGGGCAGGAGCAGAGAUGGAGACAGAAAAGCAAACCCCAGAGAGCUGGACUGUGAAGUCAGAGAAAACAUCACAGAUCAAUAUUUAAUUAAGGACUAGUAUUGCGGUUGGAAAUUUUUUUUUUUUUUUAUCAAUUUGGUGUGAUUGUUCUGGACCUGUCUCAAACAAAAAGAGUCAAGGUCAGUGAACUCUAUUCGAAUUCACGGGAGACUUAAGUCGGAUGGAAGAAGAACACAGAGCUUACUGAUUAGAGUCACUAAUUGGGUACAGGUAUUGGGUAUUGGUGUUUCUUCGAAUGUUCCUUUAAAUGGUCCCCAAAAUUACUGUGUGGGCGUCUUUGUUGGACUG
rnacentral:lncRNA from 1 species